UGGGCAUGUUUAAAUGGGAUCGCUCAGUGGUUUGAGCAUUGGCCUGCUAAACCCAGGGUAGUGUUCCAUCCUUGAAAGGGCCACCUAGGGAUAUGGGGCAAAAAAUCAGUACUUGGUCCUGCUAGUGAAGGCAGGGGGCUGG